CAAAGGUUGCACAUAUGGCCACGUUUCCAAGUAAUAAUAUGCAGGACACUUGCUGUCUUUGGACCUUAAGUGCAAAGAUAUAACACUUUACUCAUUCUGGAACAGUUUAGAAGAUACGGUUGAUAACGAUCAUGUCUUGUAUGUUUUAUGGAGUUUUACCGUUUGUUAUGCUACUCUGCUGGCUUAAAAUGCUGUCUUAAAUAUAACUCUAAUUGAGUCAUCUGAGUCCUGAGCUCAAGUUACUGUCUGUAGUGUCUGUGUGGGUUUCAUGCCGGGUUCUUCAGUUUCAUCCUUCCUCCCAAAAACAAGCAUGUAGACUGGAAAUUUUAUCUCUUGGUGUGAAUGGGUGUGAACAGUACCCUGCAAUGGACAGGUAUCCUAUCUAUGGUGAAUGCUUCUGGGAUUGGAUCUGGCUCCUCCUUGAACAUGACCUCAGAUGUUGUGUAUGAAUUCUACAUGGCUUUGUGGUUCCCCCGAUUGAUGUUGUAGCUAGAAACCUGAUGGGACUUUCAUUAUGCUUUUAUUUCAUUAUGCUAAUUUAAACUGAAUAAACAUGAUGAUUUGAAACAAAUGUUUUUUGUCUGUUCUGAUAUUCCACUUUGUGUAGUAGUGAAAAAGAUGCUUGUUAAAAUUCUGUAGGACUUUUUAUUUAUUUAUUUUUCUUAGCAUUGAGAAUGAAUUGUGAAGACCAUGUGGCUGACUUGUGAAGUCCCUCUGAAUUAUAUAUUAGCAGACGUUGGAUUCUGAACACGGUCCUGCUGGCAGACAUAAUGAUAAUUGUGGCCUUCGUUAGCAUGUAGUCAUUAUGUUGAAAUGACGAUGUGACAGAGGGAGGACUGAUGAGUAGAGGCUUUAACGAGACACUCCGAUAUUUUAUUCUAUUAGCUUAUGGAGUCAGGAACACAGAUCUCUCAGAGGUUAAUACUUUGGAAGUUUCCGUCCAUGCAGUAGGGCAUGAAGCAGCAUCAAUCAUUUAUUAAACUAAUGACAACAUCUAUAUAUAUGAUAAUAGGUUUCCUAUGCACAUAUGUCCUUCUUUCUCAUUUAAAUGGCAUGUGAGUACUAACUCAGUAUUGUACCAUUUAUUCUAAUGCAAGUUAAAUGAAAGGAACUAUAAAAAGCAGACUAUGUAAUUUACUUUGGAUUCUAUAUCUGCUUGUAUAAGGGUGUGUGUCUAUGUGUUUCAU